GAUGAACGCUGGCGGCGUGCCUAAUACAUGCAAGUCGAACGCAUAGCGAAAGGUGCUUGCACCUUUCAAGUGAGUGGCGAACGGGUGAGUAACACGUGGACAACCUGCCUCAAGGCUGGGGAUAACAUUUGGAAACAGAUGCUAAUACCGAAUAAAACUUAGUGUCGCAUGACACAAAGUUAAAAGGCGCUUCGGCGUCACCUAGAGAUGGAUCCGCGGUGCAUUAGUUAGUUGGUGGGGUAAAGGCCUACCAAGACAAUGAUGCAUAGCCGAGUUGAGAGACUGAUCGGCCACAUUGGGACUGAGACACGGCCCAAACUCCUACGGAAGGCUGCAGUAGGGAAUCUUCCACAAUGGGCGAAAGCCUGAUGGAGCAACGCCGCGUGUGUGAUGAAGGCUUUCGGGUCGUAAAGCACUGUUGUAUGGGAAGAACAGCUAGAAUAGGAAAUGAUUUUAGUUUGACGGUACCAUACCAGAAAGGGACGGCUAAAUACGUG
rnacentral:rRNA from 1 species